ACGUCGGUAGCUUACUUGGUUUUAGCAACAGGGCGUAAACCUGAGAGACCUGGGUUCGUAUCCCAGACGAGGUU